UCAUGGCAAGCAAAUGUCAUCAACAGCAAAUGGGCGUGACAACCGAGGUGCAGGGUGGCCCCCCGCCGUUUGGGAACCAAUGUGGCCUGGCAGUACUGGGCUUUGUAGGGGGUGCAGAUGGGGUUGGAGCUCGACGUGGUGAGAGGAGAUUGUGGGUGCAGAGGAGGGAAGGAGGGAGGGAGGAAGGAGGAGGAGACAAGGUGAAGAAGGAAGAAGGCCAGAGGCGGGAGGUCGGUAAGCUGGUUGUGUGGACUGUCAGGUCGAAUAAACCGGGCAAUGGCGUCGACAUGCUUCGAGAUAAUAACCUCAUUUGGCCUCACUGUUGUGUCUCCUUUGAUAUGCUGAUGCGGCCCCAUGUGUAACUCUCAAGACUGUGGAAUCUGAAGCAUAUCUGAUGGUGCGCAACCUCACAUGUUCAACAUUAAAUUUCAGAAGAAAGUUCGGCUUCAGGUCACCCCGGAACCUUUCACCAACGUGUAGGAUGUUGCUUGGGUGUAUUUCUUUUAUUUAUUUAUUUAUUUAUUUAUUAUAGUUAUUUAUUGUGUAGUAGAGCAGCUUCAAUGUUGUACGUUGUUACCGAUUGCUUAAUGCCUAGAUUUGACUCUUGAAAUACAGAUGUGACGUAGGUGGUUGGUCAUUUAUGUUUGCACGCAGUGUCCAUCAGUGCUCAUUCUUGUCAGUCUUCCUGCAUUUGCAACAAGUUGCAAUUUCCGUAGAUUUCAAGGUCGACGAAAGUUACACUCACAAGUUUUCAGUACGAGCUGGAAAAUCCUUCCAUGAUCUUCGAGUAAAUUGCUUUCGAUCCCACUCACUGUUCUAGCGCAGAGCUUGCACAAAAUCUUCUUUUGUUUCCAAGCGAUGAACGCACUGAUUGAAGAUAUCUUUGUAAGAUUUUGUGCAGCUAUACAUCCUCCGCACUUGUGUUGCUUCACAUUUUACUCUUGAAAUUCUGAUUCUGACCUUGUUAUUUUAUUCCCUUCCUUUACGCUAUGUCGAUUGCCAUCUCGAUGUUGCAUCUUUUAACCAGUACUGGAAAUGAGCUGAAGCUGGGCUGCAACUUGGAUUAACCAUAUUUGAUGGGCGGAUGUAAUUGGACAUCCCCUUGAGUUCACGACGAUUGAGUUCAGUUCACGCUCCACGAUCCGCUAGUAUGUAAGCCGCUCACCAGUUCAUGGAAUAAACUGCAUCUGGUCAACAACAGUAGAAAUUCUUCAAAAUACAACUUCCAUCUUGUGUUGAUUUCUGGACAUAUAAAUAGUUUGGUGGAGCACUUCGUCUUGUGUUGA